UUCUACUUUGCCCCUGCCUACUCUCUUUGACCAGUCCACUCCUAGGAGACAGAUUGGAAACAGAGACCAUUUACUUCUGAUCCUCAGGGCCAUUAGGUAGGCCAAGAACUACAUACAAAGCAACACACAACAGCAUGGGAACAAGAGCCCAGUGAAGUGGUUCCCACUCAGGGCACUAGAAAGUCAGAAAACAGGUGCUCUGUUUCCAGUAGACCCCCUGGAGUAGGUGGACCCUGGACUAGGACUUAAGGACAGGGAGAAUUUGGAUGGCCAGAAAUCUGGAAUGGCAUGAGAAUCUGUGUCCAUAUGCCAUAUUUGAGGGCCCCAGUGAGACCCUGCCCCGAAUGCCUGUCAUCCCAGGAGCUCCCAGAGUACUGGGAAGACCUGAACCACCAGGCUUUCUUUUGAUCCCUGUUCAGAGUUAGGGCAACAUGGGGCAGAGGGGCCCUGCAAAGAGUGGGCCAGGCCCAGGGUGCUUCAGAAGAGGCCUGUGGAAGGCAUCCCCGCUUCCACUCCCCACCUCUUCUCAUGCAUUCAGCAAACACUGGUGAGCACCUACUCCAUGCCAGAUAUUGAAGUCAAUGCUGAAGACACAUAAUACUCUCAAAGGGGAUGCUUUGAGCCCAGAGAUUCUUAAGGUCACUCAGCACUGAGGGCAAGGCAGGAGCUGGAUCCUGCCCAGAAUCAAGAGCAAAAUACAGUGGAGGAUAAAACCCUUUGCCAAGCUCCCUCAUUCCAGGGUGACUGUCAUACCCAGAGCAAGGAUGAGGGUACUCACAGUCAUGCAUCUCCUCUGACCUCUCUUCUCCAGUGCCCUUUCCCGGCACUUGGCAGAGAGCUUCAGGGACACUGACGCUGGGCCAAAUCCCUGAGACCCAGGCUGCCUGCUCACUUUGCAGAGGAGGGAUCUGAGGCCAGAGAGAUCUGAGCCUUUCCAGGACUGGCCUGACUUCACUUUUCUGCCCUGUGGAUAGGCUGUGUGUCUCUGUUUGAGGCUUGGAAGCACAGUCAGCAAGGAGGCUUUUGAGGCAGGAGCCAUUAUGCCUUGAAUAUGUGCCUUGAAUAGGUAGCUUUUUCCAAUGUAAUAUGAAGAUUACAUACACGGCGUCUGCCAUAGGGCAGACCUGGGUUCAAAUCCCAGUUCUGGGGUUCACGUGACUUUCAUACAGCAUAUAAGCUCAUCUGUAAAAUAGGGCCCAGGAUUGCUGCGAAGGUUAACUGGAAUGGUGUCCCUGAAGUAGCCAGGACAGUGUCCAGAUGACAAGUAGGUAGAUUGUUUUGAAACAAGGCCUGUGUCUUCCCCCAGCAUAUUCCCAGCCUACCUAAAAUAUCUUGCAGUUCUUCAGACGGUCUGGGGUCCUUUGUUCCUUCAUGACCCCUCCCAUGGAGUCCGUGUAACACCCGCUCACCCUACAAAACCUGACCCAGGUGUCUCCACUUUCCCAGACAGGGCCACUUGCCUUCCCUCCUCUGGGCUGUCCUGGGCCCCCAACACAGUUCCCACAGGCUAGUGUGCAGUUGUCUUUUGCUUGUCAAGGAACCUCAUGGGGGAAUUAGUGCAGCUGAUUUCGAAUCCUGGCUCCAUUACUUUCUUACAGUGUGGUUUGGGGCAAGUUACCUACCUUAUCCAAGCCUGUUUGUUCAUCUGUAAGGUAGGGUGAUAGCACCUUGCAGAAUUACAGGAUUAGAGAUAAUACCCAUAACAUACCUCACAUUGGGCCUGGAAAGUACCCAGUGUGUGCUAUCUUCAUCUCUUCACCUCUAAUCCUUAGUGCAGUGCUGUGCUCAGUAGGUACACUAUAAAUACUGGUUCAGCAGGUUAGGGAACAAAUUACUCCCCAUGCCCAGGUAGUUUUCAUUUUAAAAGCAGAACUAAUGAGGCCCAGGUCUAACCCAAAGAAAAAGGCCUAACAAUGGGAUCUGAGACCCUGUGUAGGACGGGAGUACAGUGAGAAGCUUGGGGCAUGUGUGUUGGAUCUCCUUAGUAGAAGCCCACAUCCUGCCCAUGCAGGGUGAAAAUGACCCACAGUUGUCCUGAUCCUGAAGCCCCUCCUUGGUUCCCAUGAGGAGAGCAGGAAAUGGAAGGGAAACAAGGUUGACAGCUCCUGGGCCCUCUGGACUUCCUGCCAUCCCAAUGCCCAUGGCUCCCUGAGCUGGGCCCCAGGAAUAGGUAAGGACAGAGAGGCAACAGCAACAAUGAAUCAUGUUGGAGACCCUGAAGACAAGAGGCAUCUUUGUGCCUCAAUUAGUGAAGUAUGGGGCCUUCACAAAUGGCUGAAUUUUCCCCUUUAUUUUAAAAAGCUUAUUUUUUUUUAUUUUUUAUUUAUUUAUUUUUUUUGAGAAGGAGUCUCACUCUGUCGCCAGGCUGGAGUGCAGUGGCGCA
rnacentral:lncRNA from 1 species